rnacentral:lncRNA from 1 species
CUUCACUAUUAGGAAGUGGAGAACAACAUACUGUGUUACCUUAUAUGCUUCUACUGUAUUUUAAAGUUGUGUUUCUGGUGGUUUUGUUCAUUUAUGUUGGGUGGAUGAAUUUGUGAGUGAAUGACAUCAGGUGUCUCCCCAAGUGGUUUGUUGAAGUUUGGGAGAAUUAUUUCCUAAGUAACUAUUUCAUGAAAAACUAAACACUCAAUUUAUGAAAUAAAAUGUUGUCUUAAAUCGAUUUUUAUAAAGGCAAUAGUUUUUAACUGUUCUAAGUGGUUCAUUUUAACUGAAUAUAUGGAUUUCUCAACAGAACAAGACUUAAAGCUGACAUCAGAGGAAGAGUCACAAAGGUUCAAAGGCAGUGAAAAUAGCCAGCCAGAGAAAAUGUCUCAAGAACCAGAAAUAAAUAAGGAUGGUGAUAGAGAGGUUGAAGAAGAAAUGAAGAAGCAUGAAAGUAAUAAUGUGGGAUUACUAGAAAACCUGACUAAUGGUGUCACUGCUGGCAAUGGUGAUGAUGGAUUAAUUCCUCAAAGGAAUAGCAGAACACCUGAAAAUCAGCAAUUUCCUGACAACGAAAGUGAAGAGUAUCACAGAAUUUGUGAAUUACUUUCUGACUACAAAGAAAAACAGAUGCCAAAAUACUCUUCCGAAAACAGCAACCCAGGUAAGACUUGUGAUAGUGAAUUACUUUAGGUCAGUUGUCCACAAUCUUUUUGGC